UCCUACUUGCUGCAUGAGUUGGGAUGAACCUGGAGUCAAGCCUUUCUUUGCCCUUUCUUUGCAAGUCAUUCACCCAACAUCUAGUUUGCAGAUGCAGGACCUGCCUUUAAAGAGUAAAAUGCAUCUUCUGGUAUCUCUGAGUGUGGGAGAGUAACCAUUGGUGAAGAAUACUAACAACUUGGUUGAAUAGUGUAACAAGAAAUAAAACUGCAGCAGAAUUUGCA